rnacentral:rRNA from 1 species
UACGGGGGGGGGCAAGCGUUGUUCGGAAUUACUGGGCGUAAAGGGUUCGUAGGUGGCCAACUAAGUCAGACGUGAAAUCCCUCAGCUUAACUGGGGAACUGCGUCUGAGACUGGUGGGCUUGAGUGCAGGAGAGGAACGCGGAAUUCCAGGUGUAGCGGUGAAAUGCGUAGAUAUCUGGAGGAACACCGGUGGCGAAGGCGGCAUCCUGGACCAAUUCUGACGCUGAGGAGCGAAAGCCAGGGGAGCAAACGGG